rnacentral:rRNA from 1 species
GGCGAACGGGUGAGUAACACGUGGGUAAUCAACCCCCGGCACCGGGAUAGCCCGGGGAAACUCGGAUUAAUACCGGACGGCCACCCGCUCUUCGGAGCGGCUGGAAAAGGUAGCUUCGGCCUCCAGCCGGGGACGAGCCCGCGGCGGAUUAGCUUGUUGGUGGGGUAACGGCCCACCAAGGCGACGAUCCGUAGCUGGUCUGAGAGGACGAUCAGCCACACUGGGACUGAGACACGGCCCAGACUCCUACGGGAGGCAGCAGUGGGGAAUCUUGCGCAAUGGGCGAAAGCCUGACGCAGCGACGCCGCGUGAGGGAAGAAGGCUUUCGGGUUGUAAACCUCUUUCAGGAGGGACGAAGCUACUCGGGUGAAUAGCCCAGAGGGUGACGGUACUUCCAGAAGAAGCCCCGGCUAACUACGUGCCAGCCGCCGCGG